rnacentral:rRNA from 1 species
AUUGAACGCUAGCGGCAUGCUUUACACAUGCAAGUCGAACGUGUCGCGGACGGGUGAGUAAUAUAUCGGAACGUGCCCAUUAGCGGGGGAUAACUACUCGAAAGAGUGGCUAAUACCGCAUACCUUUGGAGCGGCCGAUAUCUGAUUAGCUUGUGGGUGGGGUAAAGGCUCACCAAGGCAACGAUCCGUAGCUGGUUUGAGAGGACGACCAGCCACACUGGGACUGAGACACGGCCCAGACUCCUACGGGAGGCAGCAGUGGGGAAUUUUGGAAAAUGGGGGAAACCCUGAUCCAGCCAUCCCGCGUGUAUGAGAAGGCCUUCGGGUUGUAAAGUACGUUGGGCGGGGAAGCGGUAUCUGAAGAAUAAGCACCGGCUAACUACGUGCCAGCAGCCGCGGUAAUAC